rnacentral:lncRNA from 1 species
UUUAAAUAUUUUUUUUAUUUUACUAUUUAUCUAUUCAUUUCAGAGUUAUCAUUUUUAUUUUAAAUGCAAUAACGAAGUAAUGUAAUGAAUUCUAUUCAUAAAUAAACAAUGAGUAGUACAAUAUACCGAUUAACUUUGGUAUAUUUAUUCGUUUCAUUUGGAAAUUUGAAAACUAGCAUAAUCGCCAAACAACCAAUCAGGUGAAAUAGUAUCGUUUCUG